rnacentral:lncRNA from 1 species
GGGAGAAAGCCAGGAUAACAAGGAUCUCUUCAGGGGAGGAGCGUCAGUUGUUCCUACUGGGGGCGAAGUCAUUGCACAGAUGGACUCCGACAUAGGGGCCACUCAACUGGGAAAUUAUCCAAAGGGUCAUCAAAUACCGUAUUACCAAAGAGAUCACAUCUGCUGAGGAGGAAAGAUCACCAUCCUGCUGAAGGGAGGAGA